rnacentral:tRNA from 2 species
GGGCCGUAGCUCAGUUGGUAGAGCGCAUCGUUCGCAAUGAUGAGGUCAGGGGUUCGAUUCCCCUCGGCUCC